GCUUGCUUGGUGGAUCAGUGGCGAACGGGUGAGUAACACGUGAGCAACCUGCCCUGGACUCUGGGAUAAGCGCUGGAAACGGCGUCUAAUACUGGAUAUGAGCCUCUAUCGCAUGGUGGGGGUUGGAAAGAUUUUUUGGUCUGGGAUGGGCUCGCGGCCUAUCAGCUUGUUGGUGAGGUAAUGGCUCACCAAGGCGUCGACGGGUAGCCGGCCUGAGAGGGUGACCGGCCACACUGGGACUGAGACACGGCCCAGACUCCUACGGGAGGCAGCAGUGGGGAAUAUUGCACAAUGGGCGGAAGCCUGAUGCAGCAACGCCGCGUGAGGGAUGACGGCCUUCGGGUUGUAAACCUCUUUUAGCAGGGAAGAAGCGAGAGUGACGGUACCUGCAGAAAAAGCGCCGGCUAACUACGUGCCAGCAGCCGCGGUAAUACGUAGGGCGCAAGCGUUAUCCGGAAUUAUUGGGCGUAAAGAGCUCGUAGGCGGUUUGUCGCGUCUGCUGUGAAAUCCCGAGGCUCAACCUCGGGCCUGCAGUGGGUACGGGCAGACUAGAGUGCGGUAGGGGAGAUUGGAAUUCCUGGUGUAGCGGUGGAAUGCGCAGAUAUCAGGAGGAACACCGAUGGCGAAGGCAGAUCUCUGGGCCGUAACUGACGCUGAGGAGCGAAAGGGUGGGGAGCAAACAGGCUUAGAUACCCUGGUAGUCCACCCCGUAAACGUUGGGAACUAGUUGUGGGGACCAUUCCACGGUUUCCGUGACGCAGCUAACGCAUUAAGUUCCCCGCCUGGGGAGUACGGCCGCAAGGCUAAAACUCAAAGGAAUUGACGGGGACCCGCACAAGCGGCGGAGCAUGCGGAUUAAUUCGAUGCAACGCGAAGAACCUUACCAAGGCUUGACAUACACCAGAACACCGUAGAAAUACGGGACUCUUUGGACACUGG
rnacentral:rRNA from 1 species